GAGAGUUCUCUUUCUUCACUUUGUACUCCCUGAUCACUGAUUUAAAAGGAAGAGAGAUAUGAUUACACAUGAAGCAUGCUUUUCUUUCCUGCAUGUGGAAGGCCAUUUAGGCACUCCUGGGGUUGUACUCCACAGCAAGCCGUUGACCUGCUGUACCGAGUCUGGCAUCAAGAGAUCCUUGUGACUGCGCUCCCACGUGACUGCAAUGAUCUGCAAGCUCGCUAGAUUUCUCUACAAACCUCUUCUCCUGCCCGGUUCUUCCACAAAGUGUGUGUGUAUGUAUAUGUGUGUGUAUGAACAGAUAGAAAUCAAGUUAACAGAUAUAAAGAUAAAAUAAUUAAACAUAUCAGUAGUGAAAACUAGUUGUGAGAACUACUUACCAGCCCUGAUUUAGUCUUUUGUCAAUGCUUAACUAUCCACAUUUUAUUAUCACUACUUUAUUCUCUGAAAAGGGACUUAAGGUGGGUUCUGGGUUUUUUUUUUUUGGUUCCACUAAUUUUUUAUCAGGUAUAUUCAGCAUGCUAAUAAUGAGAUAGGUUGUUCCUUUACUUUUCAGCUGUGAAAGCUGAGCCUAAACUCAGUUAGGCUCAGUUCCCACCUUUUAAUGAAUCCCUACUGGUAACAAUGGUUUGGCAGGAAAAAGGCCAGUGACACCAGGGCAACGUCAUUGACCGUAUGGGGUUAGCAUACGUGUGACAGAGGGGACCUUGGUAAGCAAUUCGGAUGGCAACAUGACGUAAGGUAGAAGAAAUCGAGUCUACCUAUCCCUUUGUCUGUGGCGCUCUCUCUUUCACUGUGUUGGCUCUUCCAGAAAAGUAACAUCUCUUUUUUUUUUAUAAGUGGAAAGUGCCUGUUUCACAUAGUCUUUUUCUGAAUGACAGCUGCAUUUUAGUUCCAUGUUCCUUGUUAGAGAAGCACUUUAAUAGGUCUAAUCAGUGUUAGAUUUGGGUUUUUUUGUUAUCUGAUUAUACAGAGAUGUAUUUAUUUAUUGUAUAUCUAUAUCUAUUCUAUAUAUGUAUGCAUAGGUAUAUUAUGCAGGAGUAAUUUCUUAGUUUUAUUUCUAAAACUGCCAUUUCGGAUACUGCAUAGUCAGAAUAAAGAGUAACUUUCAAUUAUUAAUUACCUUGAU
rnacentral:lncRNA from 1 species